rnacentral:rRNA from 1 species
CCUACGGGAGGCAGCAGUAGGGAAUAUUGGGCAAUGGAGGCAACUCUGACCCAGCCAUGCCGCGUGCAGGAAGACGGUCCUCUGGAUUGUAAACUGCUUUUGAAUGGGAAGAAUGUGCUCCUUGCGAGGGGUAAUGACGGUACCAUUAGAAUAAGCCACGGCUAACUACGUGCCAGCAGCCGCGGUAAUACGUAGGUGGCGAGCGUUAUCCGGAUUUAUUGGGUUUAAAGGGUGCGUAGGCGGCUUAAUAAGUCGGUGGUUAAAAGUAGCAGCUUAACUGUUUUACAUGCCAUCGAUACUGUUGAGCUUGAGAUAUUUGGAGGCAGCUAGAAUUUCCGGUGUAGCGGUGAAAUGCAUAGAUACCGGAAGGAAUACCAAUUGCGAAGGCAGGUUGCUACGAAUAAACUGACGCUGAUGCACGAAAGCGUGGGGAUCAAACAGGGUUAGAUACCCUGGUAGUCCACGCCGUAAACGAUGAUUACUAGUUNUUGGGGUUUAAGCCUCNGUGACAACGGAACGAANAAGUAAUACACCGUGGAGACGCCGCGACGAGAACGUAAAGUAAGUAGUUAGNGUGAGAGUGCGAGGCGACGACGAGGAGGAGG